rnacentral:rRNA from 1 species
UGGGGAAUAUUGCACAAUGGGCGCAAGCCUGAUGCAGCCAUGCCGCGUGUAUGAAGAAGGCCUUCGGGUUGUAAAGUACUUUCAGCGAGGAGGAAGGCGUUGUGGUUAAUAACCGCAACGAUUGACGUUACUCGCAGAAGAAGCACCGGCUAACUCCGUGUCAGCAGCCGCGGUAAUACGGAGGGUGCAAGCGUUAAUAGGAAUUACUGGGCGUAAAGCGCACGCAGGCGGUCUGUCAAGUCGGAUGUGAAAUCCCCGGGCUCAACCUGGGAACUGCAUCCGAAACUGGCAGGCUAGAGUCUUGUAGAGGGGGGUAGAAUUCCAGGUGUAGCGGUGAAAUGCGUAGAGAUCUGGAGGAAUACCGGUGGCGAAGGCGGCCCCCUGGACAAAGACUGACGCUCAGGUGCGAAAGCGUGGGGAGCAAACA